rnacentral:rRNA from 1 species
AUGGGGAAGGAGGCCGGGGACCAGCGCCAGCGCCCGCCCGACGGGGGCGCGGGCGAAGGCGGCGCCGAAGGUAACGGGAGAUGCGGGUGUGGGGGCCGACGCGUGCUGCGGCUGCAAUGCGUGGCGGCGCUCGUGCUGGGCGCGGCCGUGCUGCUGUCCGCGCUCUUCUGGCUGCCGCCCUUCGCGGGCCGCGGCGGGAGGAGCCCGCCCGGCGCGCCGGAUCCCUUCGCCGACGGGUUCAAAGAUGAUAUAGUGGCAAGUUUUAGGCUGCAGAAGAAUGUUUCCGAGCUCAGGGGAAACAUGUCCAAGCUCGUAUUGGACAUCUAUGCGGAAGUCGGUGUCCCUAACUCCAUUGUGGCUGUGGAUUUACUACAUCCAUUAGCUGGAUCGAACUGGACAAAUGUCAUCUUCAGCAUUGUGCCUUAUCCAAAGAAUUCGACUAUAUCAUCAAUGGGGUUGAGCAUUAUUAGGGCAUCUUUUAUGUCCUUGGUUGUGCGGCAGUCAACACUCCACUUGACCAAGUCCCUCUUUGGGAAUUCAUCAUCCUUUGAAGUGCUUAAAUUCCCUGGAGGAAUAACAAUAAUUCCUCCGCAGCACGCUUUUCCUCCUGAAACACUCCAUGCAACUUUUAAUUUUACUCUGAAUUUCCCAAUCUACAAAGUGCAAGACAGAACUGAUGAAUUAAAGGAUCAAAUGAAGACAGGACUACUACUCAAUUCUAAUGAGAAUCUUUAUAUCAAAUUGGGAAAUUUGCAAGGAUCAACAAUUCUUCCUCCAACUAUUGUUGAGACCUACAUUGUUCGUGUUGUUGGGAAUCACCAGCCAUCUGUACCAAGGAUGAAGCAGUUGGCGCAAACAAUUACUAAUUCAUCUAAAGGGAACCUUGGUCUGAACCACACCGUAUUUGGCAGAGUAAAGCAGAUAAGCCUUUCCUCCUAUCUUAAUCGUUCUUUGCAUAGCAGGGGCAGUUCUGAUGCACCUAGUCAAGCACCAAUGCAACAUCAUGGUCAUCACGGCCAUCAUCACCAUCACCAUGGUCAUGAAAGCAACAGGCAUUUGGCUCCUGCUCCUCUCCCUGUACAUACACCCAGAUAUGUUGCUCCACCUCCAUCUGGGUGUCCAUAUGGCAACAGGGCAAAGAGCAGGGUUCCUGUGGCGCCAGCUGCCGAGCCUGUAGCCAAUGAUCACCGUUCUACUCAUCCUGCCGCUUCACCACCUCAUCCAUUAUCACCUUCUUCUGUUCGUCAUCCUCCACGUGGUCCUAAUAUGCACAGUAGAUCUCCUGUUCCGUCCCCUCCAGUUCUUCCAGAGCCGCCUUUGCCCACUGUUUCUUUUAGUCAUGCACACCCUCCAAGUGAGCGUGCGACAGGAACUGGCCCUUCUGCUGGAAUGUCUGUGGCCCCUGCACCGCAUUCAUCUAAUGCUAGCCGGAGGCUCUCCUACCACUGGGUCCUGGUACCCCUCAUAUAUACCCUGCUUUGGAGCCUGCUAUGA